rnacentral:rRNA from 1 species
UACGUAGGGUGCAAGCGUUGUCCGGAAUUAUUGGGCGUAAAGAGCUCGUAGGCGGUUUGUCGCGUCUGCUGUGAAAACUCGGGGCUUAACUCCGGGCCUGCAGUGGGUACGGGCAGACUAGAGUGCGGUAGGGGAGACUGGAAUUCCUGGUGUAGCGGUGAAAUGCGCAGAUAUCAGGAGGAACCCCGGUGGCGAAGGCGGGUCUCUGGGCCGUAACUGACGCUGAGGAGCGAAAGCGUGGGGAGCGAACAGG